rnacentral:lncRNA from 1 species
CUAUAUGCAGUAAUGGAAAAAAAUCUUUAAUUCAGCAAAUGUUUUUGGCAGAUUACUUGCCAUCUUCAGGCUACAAAUAUAACAGUUCAGAAUAUGGAACAGGAAGUUCUAAAAUACAAAAGUUUGUUACCUAGAUUACAGGGUAAUUACAAAAAAAAAUUUUUUUGAAGGCAAUGCAAAUUAAACAUAUACACAAAACAUAAAGUAAAAAUAAAAUUAAAAAGGUAAAUUAAAUAUAAACAUAAAGGUAAAAUAAAAUAAAUGAAAUAAAAUGAAAUAACAGUAUAAUAAAGUAAAAAUACAUUAUGAAAAAUAAAAAUUGAAUCUUAGUCUUUUGCUUUAAGAGGGUAGUGCGGAGGCAGAUCUUACUCCAUUUUUGAGUUUCAUUUCUUUCCAUUUUUCUAGCAAGUAUGUCCAUGAUGACGGCAGAUCAAUGGCUGGCUUUUCAUUCAUUAUUUGUUCUCUGCAUUUAGCUUUUAAUAUCUCUAUGGACUCCGUUAAGUAUGCUUGAGUUUUUGCGGCUAAAAGCUUUAUUAUCUUAGCUUUUUUCCAGACUAUUUACAAAUCAAUGGCACAAGUUUCUGUAGCAAGAGCAAUGGAAAUCUUCCCGUUAGCUAUAUCUUUUUUUGUGUUCUUCAAUUCUCUGUUGUAAAGUUCUUGUGGUUACACCUAUGUAUGCUGUGUGUUGCUGGGUGUUAGUAAACAAGGCUGGAAUUUUAUAAAAACCUGACUUUUGACAGUCGUCAUUCCUUCUCCCUUUUUCAUUCCUGAGUUUAAUAAACACAGUAGGAGCUCUAUAGUAUGCUGGCUUUUUCUUUGCUUUUUUUCUCAAAUUUUUGAUAGAUUUAAGCUUUGUUAGAGAAUAUGACAAAGGGAGAUAUUGCUGUUUAUUGAUAUUUGAGACAGAUGCACCAUUAGGUUUUUUUUUUUUUUAGGAUUGCUCGAUUUUAGUCCAGAUGUUUUUUAGGAAGAGUUUUCCGUAGCCCUAUUGGAGGCCUACAUUAUAUAAGUAAUCUAUUUCAGCUUGUAAGUUUUGUUGGUCUGACGUAUAUAGGAGUGCUCUCUUGAAAAGCAAUCUAAAUGCUGCUUUCUUGUAGGACCGGAGGGCCAUCUAAAGAUUACGAUUGGCUGGUGCAAUGGUUUGCAGUACACUGCAGUUUUUAAUGUUUCCUUUCUAAUUUCGUGUUGAUGUCCAGGAAGUGAGCUGUGUUGUGGUCUUGCUGGAUUUUCUUAAGGCUAAGUCCAUAUGCAGGGAGCAUGAAAGCAGCUUCAGAAUUGUUAACCUUAGCAUCAUUGUUCCAUAACAUAAAAAUAUCAUCUACAUAUCUCAUGCAAAGUUUUAAGUUAGUUUUAUAUUUUUGCAGGAUUGGGUCUUCUACUUGCCUCAAGUAUUUCUGCUGGUGGGCCAGCCAUAGUAUUUAUUUAUGUUUUUUUUUUUUUUGUAAUUAUGAUGUAACCUAGGUAAAUACAAAAGUUUGUUUAGAACUUCCUGUUUGAUAUUCUGAACCAUUAUAUUUGUAGCCUGAAGGUGGCAAGUAAUCUUUGCCAAAAACAUUUGCUGAAUUAGAGAUUUUUUUCCCACUACUGCAUAUAGUGUUGGAUUUUUCUUAAAUAGUAUUGUGAAUGUUUUAAAGCAAUAUACCGUAUAUACUCGAAUAUAAGCCGAUCCGUGUAUAAGCCGACUCCCCGACUUCAG